rnacentral:rRNA from 1 species
UUCGGGACGCUGGCGAGUGGCGAACGGGUGCGUAACGCAUGGAAACCUGCCCCGAGGUGUGGGACAACAGUUGGAAACGACUGCUAAUACCGCAUAAGCCUUACGAGGGAAAGGCGCAAGUCGCCUUGGGAGGGGUCCGCGUCGGAUUAGCUAGUUGGUGGAGUAAAGGCCUACCAAGGCGAUGAUCCGUAGCUGGUCUGAGAGGAUGAUCAGCCACACUGGGACUGAGACACGGCCCAGACUCCUACGGGAGGCAGCAGUGGGGAAUAUUGCGCAAUGGGAGAAAUCCUGACGCAGCGAUACCGCGUGGGUGAAGAAGGUCUUCGGAUUGUAAAGCCCUUUCAGCAGGAAAGAUGAUGACGGUACCUGCAGAAGAAGCCCCGGCUAACUCCGUGCCAGCAGCCGCGGUAAUACGGAGGGGGCGAGCGUUGUUCGGAAUGACUGGGCGUAAAGGGCGCGUAGGCUGCUCUGCAAG